rnacentral:tRNA from 4 species
GGCGAGAUGGCCGAGUUGGUUAUGGCGUCAGGUUAAGGUCCUGGUGGAGCAAUCCGCGUGGGUUCGAGUCCCACUCUCGUCA